GCGCCCCGUCGACUGCCGGCAGCUGCGAGUUUAAGAUGCGUUUGAAAUUUUGGCAGAAAUCGUGUAUUUAACGAUUCCAGCUUUCCUCCUCCCCGACCCGCAUUUGCUUAAUUAGCAGCUGUCGGUGAACAGUGCUCACCCGCUUGUCCCCACACAUCGCCCUUCCUGCUUGAGCUGUCAGCCUUGGGCCGCGAUGCACGUCGUCAGGACACAGGGCACAGCCUCGACGGGGAGGGUGUUUUGACAAUUCAAACGGAAAUUAAAUUUGUUACGAAAUGAAUGGGCGCCUCCAUAAAAACUUGGGUGUCAUUUCAUCAUUCUGCACAUUUUCAUUCGCCCUUUCACUUAGAAAUAAAUGCAAAGCAAAAAAAAAAA